rnacentral:rRNA from 1 species
UACGUAGAGUGCAAACGUUGUUCGGAUUUACUGGGCAUAAAGAGCUCGUAGGUGGCAUUUCAAGUCGGUUGUGAAAGCCCCUGGCUCAACCAGGGAGUGUGCAGCCGAAACUAGACGUGCUUGAGUGUGAGAGGGGAGGAGUGGAACUUCCAGUGGAGCGGUGAAAUGCGUAGAUAUUGGAAGGAACGCCGGUGGCGAAAGCGACUCUCUGGCUCAUUACUGACACUGAGGAGCGAAAGC